ensembl:lncRNA
CGUUAAUUGCCAUUUUCCGUGGUGGUGUUAUGCGAAGUGUCUCGCUAGCAAGAAGAGGAGAAGAAGAAGAGCACCGCCAUCGAAGCAACUGACGUCGGCUAACGCUAGCUAACGCUAGCUAGUCCCGAGGACAUUCAGGGACACGGACACGAACGUGGACAUGGACGUGGACAUGGACAUGGACAACUCUCUCCCACGUGCAGAAAACUACGACGGGUUUAAACGUCAUAUUAACCCAGCGCUCAAUGGUCGGACUGCGCCUCCUGAGCCCCGACAGCCCGUCUCGCUCCGGAUUCUCUCCGUUUUUUUCACCCGGACUGAGUUACGGUACAACAAGAGAACACCAUGAAAAACAAAUCACAAUUCCUCCCUCUCCGUCCUCAUCCUCUCUCCGCCGACGCUUUGUUGUGUCAGAAAGGAAAUGAAGCACUGCCACUUGAGAAGGAGUUUCAUCCGCAACUUUUCAUCCCAAAGGCGGACUCAAACGUUUUCAAGUACAGUCUGUUUACUGUUUUGUGUUCCCUCCAUCCUUUUCUCCUCGUCUCCUUCAUACGUUCUUUCCCUCGCGUACCGGGACACACACACUCCACACCUCCGUCUCAUGUUCAUUGUAAAAGGGUCUAUUUAACCUAUUUAGCUCAUGCCGGGUCGGUCAAUACUUUUAUCUUUCCCAACGUUUAUUUAAUUGUUGCACUCAAUUUUUUUUAUAUUGGAAGAGAAACCUUGCCUGGGUUUUCUGCGGACAUUGGGAAAAGUUGUAUUGACUAUUAACGUAGUAGUUUGAAGUACAUUAUUGCUGUACUCGCUGUUUGUGGCCUGUGGGAUCUGAACGAACCAGCUAGAACGCCUCAUCACUUGUGAUGUCCAGCCACCACAAGCUAAAGGGAACCGCAGACAAUUAGUAGGGGCCUGCAGACGCGGGGCCCCGCCCCCGUUGCAGCACGCGGCACUUUUCCAUAUUAAAUCGUCGCUGAAUGAAUCGCUCGUCCAAACUGCACCAACUUCCACACGGCUACCGAGUGUGAAGUAGAUUGUUUAAGGUAUAAAGAGGACAGACAGACCCACAUUAGUGAUGAACCAGUUUGUACCGACUCGGUAAAGGAGCUUCCACACAGUUUAACAGGCCUAUCCGUCCAAUGUGAUGUGGGUGUGGGUGUUAUAUGUAGAUGUUAACGGCUGCCUGGUGUUUGAACAACACGGUCAGCUGAAAUCUACAUGAGAACCAACUUCAAAAGCUCAGCCGAAAACAAGGUUAAAUGUCACAUCAUUUGGAUGUUUUGCAGCGAUCAGCUACCAAGGUAGUCGUUGCCUUCUGCGUAACACAUCUGCAUUUGGUCCAGAUGUGCCACAGCUGAAAACUGGAUGCUUAUAUGUGUGAUAUGUCUUUUUAUGUCUCGUAUAUCUUUAUGACAUGGAAUGUGCUGCUGUCUCCUUCUCUGACAAACACAAUCUCACGGGGACAUCAUUCGGCUGCACUGCAAAGUCAGGCAGCGUUGGUCGGGGAAUAAAACAAGCCAAUGAAGAAUCGCUCAAACAUGCGGAGCCUCCGAGAGCCGAGGUCUGGGGACUGCUGAACCCGCAGCGACGACGCAACACUCCAAACACGACUCAAAACGCAGAGAGAGGAGUGCGAAUGUGGAGGGGAGAUGGAGGAGCUGAGACACCAAACAACGGCAAAAGAGCACAUGAGCGAUAAAAAACAAAGGGCGAGAGGGAGAACCGAGAUAACGGAGGCCUCAGAAAUGUGCAGCUUAAGAGUUCAGCCGGCAUUAGCGGGGCCUCGUUUUCCAGUGGAACCGUCUCGGGCCUCGGCGAACCGAUAUUGAGCUGCUAAUCAGCUGCAGUUCUGUCAAGACUUGAAAACAUGAGAGCCUCGUGGAUAACUCCGGAGCCUCCGUGGAGCUCUUGGUUCUCAGCGUUAAAUCCACAAUGAGGAUGUAAAGAAUUCAUUUUUUUCCCGCUACUUGUCUCCACAACAGAGGAGCGAUCCCUCAGGUGAUCAUCUCACUUUCCUCUUACAUCAGGAGUGAAGGAAGACGCUGCGAUUGAUGCCUGAACACACGGCAGCGCCGGCUCUUGGGGUAUUUGAGGCAAAGCCGCAGACGUUAACACGCUGUUCGCGCUCUCGUGCUUUUACGUUUUUACAAAAUCCCCGUUUUCAAGGAGGUCUGGGCUGAAUAACGAAGUAUAAUGAUCGCUGUCUGGCCUCGGGUCCGCUCUUGCAAAAGCAGAGGGUUUACUUACAUCAUCUCAAUUAUGAGGGGAGGAGGUGAGCGAGGAGUGGAGAGGAAGGGGGGGAGGGUCGGGUAAAUGCAAGAUAGCAUUGUAAAUCAGGACGAGGGAAGAGACGGGACCUCGUCCGGCUCAGCGAGGGAAAAGGAGCUUCUCUUUUGGGAGGAUGAGAAAGGACUGAGGAAGAGAAAACAAACAGGAGAGAGUCUGAAAAGCCUUUUUCCCCCCCGCCGAAAAACCCAGAGUCCUCCAAGACAGGAGGCAGCGGAGAGAGUUCACAGAGAAGUCAGGAUGAGAAAGAAAAAGAGUAGGGGGAGAAACUGCCAAGACAGAUGAGAGGAAGCCUUUAUCUACAUGUAGGCUCUCUUAACUCAUCCCUCCCUCAGCAAGGAGCAUUUAUCUCAUUUUUUAUCACCUCCUCCUCGCCUCCUCGCUCUCAUUUGGCCCCCGAGCAACACAAACACAGACCCACAUUUCCACGACUCACCCAAUUAUUACUGUUGUCGUUUCAAAUUAGUUUCAUUACAAAUAGUUUUUUUUUUUUUUCAGUAAUAUUCCUUGUUUGUUUGUUUUUCAUGAUGCUGCAGGAGCUCUUCAGGCAUUCAUUUGGAUCCACUUCAAACGAUUAGCUGGUGUAAAAGAAGGUUGCGGCGGUGAGUUUUUGCCGAUACCGGUCGGUCUGGAGGAAGCGGUGGAGGCAGUUACACACACACGUGUCCAUCGGAGUGAUUUAUUUCAGACCAGUCUUCAAAGGGUCAUAGGAGAGACAGCUGGGUGGGACUUUUCAGAGGUUGCCAACCUCGUUGCCACGCGACUAAACUGUUUUCAUCACGAAAUAUUUAACUCCCACACCGCAGCACCACAGAUGGCUGCUUCUUACGUUCCUUUUACUCCACAUUGUACAUUACAAUCAAACGAAGCCCCUCAGGUGCAUUCGAGCCUCUUAUCUUCUUUUCAACAGUAACCUGUGCACUUGACUGGAGUGAUUGCUUGUUGUGUCCUGAACGCGUCCCGUGCAGACACACGCAGAGGAGCAGCUGCUGUGCUAACGUGCUCGUGUGCUAUGCAAGCUGUGGACAUUUUCAGCCUUUAUAGGCCACUUCUCUCAGCUCUUUUUUUCCAUCGUAAUUGACCUUCUGCCAAGCCCCGCCUCUCUAACGCCGACUGGCCCAAUCAUAGCGUUUUUUCAGGCUGGUUUAGUGGAUUUGGAGCACGUUAUAGUUGAGCGUCGUGUGUUGGCGAUACUCGCUACACGGAGAUGCUGGAUGAUGCACCUUUCUGACACCACUGUUGCCGUCGGUAACAUUGAAUAUUCAGUAUGCAGAGUGUGUUCCACGUUAGAGAUGAGCUUUUAUUCUGCGCGCCUCUUUAGGCGUCUAAAGAGCCUCGUCUCCAGAGCAACAAAGCAUCUGCGCGUCAUAGCUGACAUCUGUCACACUGACGUCUUUCACGCUGACCCAACGCUUACGUGUGUUCUCUUAUGAAAUGAGAAAGAACCAAUUUGGGAUGCUGUGUUGGGCACAAAUGGAUUAAAGGACCAGGGAGGUGCAUCAGAGGAAGCUAAGACCUAAGCCGGGGGGGGGGGGGGGGGGGGGGGGGGGGGGGGGAAAAAAAAACGAGAGGGUCGGGGGGCGGAAAUGUGUGGUCUGGGAAAAAAAGCACAGGACGUUCAGUCCGUCCGUUUCAUGAUGCUGCUCUAGAUUCUGAAUGAUAUUCUUAAGUAUUGAAAACAAGUGAUAUAAUAGCAGGAGGGUUUCACAUCUGUUUAAGUCGGACUGCUGGUUGUGAGCAUCGCAACAACAUGACCAGAAGGUGAUCACACGCACGCACAAAGCAUAUUCCGUCCUUUGACUCUCGCCAACAUCCACUCCGUUAGGCCCUGCACGUGGCCUGAGUGCACAGCCAACACACACACACACACACACACUAUAUAACACACAGUCUUGCUCUUUCAGUGAAAGACAUUUUACAGGUUCUACAGGUCCAACGCUCGGUUGACAUGUCUUUAACUGACACGUAUGUGUCUGUGUGUGUUUGUGAUCCGUCUGCCUGGCACUGCACUAAUCCCGGUGCCCUCGCACUCGUUUGGCUGUUCAAUUCGGACGCCGCAGUCCCAGCUCAGUUUCCAGCGCAGUAAUCCUCGUGAUGAGGGGUGCCACUGUUUCACGCUCUCUCUGUCUUCUCCCCUUCAGUUGGCCUGUGCUUCCCUGGGAGUCCGCUCUCCAUCCAAGUGAUCGCUUUUUCCCCCGAAUAAUCGUCGCCGGUCGGGACUGUGUUGUGGGCCACGACUGCCACGAGUGUGUGGGCCUGCAUCAGUGCGAGUAAAUCAUUUUUAAAAGUGUGUGAUGGUAUCAAAACAGCUGUCACGUGUCACAUGUUGAGGUGUGUUUGUGGAUGUGAGACCUGCCACCUUCACUGUCUUCAGGUUUUUAGUGCCUGGUGCCUAGUGGUGUUCAUCAGACUCCCUUUAGAAGGCCUCUCGCCUUCCUGCACUAAGUUCUGACGCUGUGCUACGAGCGGUCCUGGGCCUGGUUCUCCUGGGCCUCCCAGUCUUUCCGUUGGCCCACUAAUACGGCCCGGUAGCCCGGUGUCA